GCAGCCCGAAGGAGGGGGAUAACUAACCUGAACGGGGGCUAAUACCGCAUAACGUCGCAAGACCAAAGUGGGGGACCUUCGGGCCUCACACCAUCGGAUGUGCCCAGAUGGGAUUAGCUAGUAGGUGGGGUAAUGGCUCACCUAGGCGACGAUCCCUAGCUGGUCUGAGAGGAUGACCAGCCACACUGGAACUGAGACACGGUCCAGACUCCUACGGGAGGCAGCAGUGGGGAAUAUUGCACAAUGGGCGCAAGCCUGAUGCAGCCAUGCCGCGUGUAUGAAGAAGGCCUUCGGGUUGUAAAGUACUUUCAGCGGGGAGGAAGGCGGUGAGGUUAAUAACCUCGCCGAUUGACGUUACCCGCAGAAGAAGCACCGGCUAACUCCGUGCCAGCAGCCGCGGUAAUACGGAGGGUGCAAGCGUUAAUCGGAAUUACUGGGCGUAAAGCGCACGCAGGCGGUCUGUUAAGUCAGAUGUGAAAUCCCCGGGCUUAACCUGGGAACUGCAUUUGAAACUGGCAGGCUUGAGUCUCGUGGUAGGAUUCCAGGUGUAGCGGUGAAAUGCGUAGAGAUCUGGAGGAAUACCGGUGGCGAAGGCGGCCCCCUGGACGAAGACUGACGCUCAGGUGCGAAAGCGUGGGAGCAAACAGGAUUAGAUACCCUGGUAGUCCACACCGUAAACGAUGUCGACUUGGAGGUUGUGCCCUUGAGGCGUGGCUUCCGGAGCUAACGCGUUAAGUCGACCGCCUGGGGAGUACGGCCGCAAGGUUAAAACUCAAAUGAAUUGACGGGGGCCCGCACAAGCGGUGGAGCAUGUGGUUUAAUUCGAUGCAACGCGAAGAACCUUACCUGGCCUUGACAUCCAGAGAACUUAGCAGAGAUGCUUUGGUGCCUUCGGGAACUAAGAGACAGGUGCUGCAUGGCUGUCGUCAGCUCGUGUUGUGAAAUGUUGGGUUAAGUCCCGCAACGAGCGCAACCCUUAUCCUUUGUUGCCAGCGGCUCGGCCGGGAACUCAAAGGAGACUGCCGGUGAUAAACCGGAGGAAGGUGGGGAUGACGUCAAGUCAUCAUGGCCCUUACGGCCAGGGCUACACACGUGCUACAAUGGCGCAUACAAAGAGAAGCGACCUCGCGAGAGCAAGCGGACCUCAUAAAGUGCGUCGUAGUCCGGAUUGGAGUCUGCAACUCGACUCCAUGAAGUCGGAAUCGCUAGUAAUCGUAGAUCUCCGUAACUCGUUA
rnacentral:rRNA from 1 species